GGGUUGUGAGGUUAAGCGACUAAGCGUACACGGUGGAUGCCCUGGCAGUCAGAGGCGAUGAAGGACGUGCUAAUCUGCGAUAAGCGCCGGUAAGGUGAUAUGAACCGUUAUAACCGGCGAUUUCCGAAUGGGGAAACCCAGUGUGACUCGUCACACUAUCAUUAACUGAAUCCAUAGGUUAAUGAGGCGAACCGGGGGAACUGAAACAUCUAAGUACCCCGAGGAAAAGAAAUCAACCGAGAUUCCCCCAGUAGCGGCGAGCGAACGGGGAGGAGCCCAGAGCCUGAAUCAGCAUGUGUGUUAGUGGAAGCGUCUGGAAAGGCGCGCGAUACAGGGUGACAGCCCCGUACACAAAAGCGCAUGUGUUGUGAGCUCGAUGAGUAGGGCGGGACACGUGGUAUCCUGUCUGAAUAUGGGGGGACCAUCCUCCAAGGCUAAAUACUCCUGACUGACCGAUAGUGAACCAGUACCGUGAGGGAAAGGCGAAAAGAACCCCGGCGAGGGGAGUGAAAAAGAACCUGAAACCGUGUACGUACAAGCAGUGGGAGCCCCACCACUAAGCCAGUGGUGAACUCCACAUACGCAUCCUUUGCUGAAGGUGCGGUUAACGGAGCGCAAGCGACGUUCAACCUCAAAAGAAGCAGAGGGGGCUUAGUGGUGGGGUGACUGCGUACCUUUUGUAUAAUGGGUCAGCGACUUAUAUUCUGUAGCA
rnacentral:rRNA from 3 species